GAUGAACGCUAGCGGCAGGCCUAAUACAUGCAAGUCGAACGGUGUAGCAAUACACAGUGGCGCACGGGUGCGUAACACGUAUGCAACCUACCUUACAUUGGGGGAUAGCCUUUCGAAAGGGAGAUUAAUACCGCAUAAGACAGUAACUAGGCAUCUAGUAGCUGUUAAAGAUUUAUCGAUGUAAGCUGGGCAUGCGUCCAAUUAGUUAGUUGGCGAGGUAAUGGCUCACCAAGACGAUGAUUGGUAGGGGAACUGAGAGGUCAGUCCCCCACACUGGCACUGAGAUACGUGCCAGACUCCUAUGGGAGGCAGCAGUAGGGAAUAUUGGGCAAUGGGCGCAAGCCUGACCCAGCCAUGCCGCGUGCAGGAAGAAGGCGUUAUGCGUUGUAAACUGCUUUUAUACAGGAAGAAACGACCCUUGCGAGGGGCAUUGACGGUACUGUAUGAAUAAGCACCGGCUAACUCCGUGCCAGCAGCCGCAGUAACAC
rnacentral:rRNA from 1 species